UACGGAGGGUGCAAGCGUUAUCCGGAUUCACUGGGUUUAAAGGGUGCGUAGGUGGGCAGGUAAGUCCGUGGUGAAAUCCCUGAGCUUAACUCGGGAACUGCCAUGGAUACUAUUUGUCUUGAAUAUCGUGGAGGUAAGCGGAAUAUGUCAUGUAGCGGUGAAAUGCUUAGAUAUGACAUAGAACACCAAUUGCGAAGGCAGCUUACUACCCGAAUAUUGACACUGAGGCACGAAAGCGUGGGGAUCAAACAGG
rnacentral:rRNA from 1 species